GGGUCGGUAGCUCAGCUGGUAGAGCAAUUCCCUUUUAAGGAAGCGGUCCUGGGUUCGAUCCCCAGCCGACCCA
rfam:Candidatus Magasanikbacteria bacterium RIFOXYD1_FTLL_40_23 rifoxyd1_full_scaffold_32, whole genome shotgun sequence.